rnacentral:rRNA from 1 species
GUGUCAGCCGCCGCGGUAAUACGUAGGGGGCGAGCGUUGUCCGGAUUUAUUGGGCGUAAAAGGCUUGUAGGUGGCCACGCGAAGUCGGAUGUGAAAUCUCCCGGCUCAACUGGGAGGGGUCAUUCGAUACUGGCGGGCUCGAGGCCGGUAGGGGGAAGCGGAAUUCCCGGUGUAGUGGUGGAAUGCGUAGAUAUCGGGAGGAACACCAGUGGCGAAGGCGGCUUCCUGGACCGGUUCUGACACUGAGGAGCGAAAGCGUGGGGAGCGAUCCGGAUUAGAAACCACCGGAGUAC